GGGUUGUGAGGUUAAGCGACCAAGCGUACACGGUGGAUGCCCUGGCAGUCAGAGGCGAUGAAGGACGUGCUAAUCUGCGAAAAGCGCCGGUAAGGUGAUAUGAACCGUUAUAACCGGCGAUGUCCGAAUGGGGAAACCCAGUGUGACUCGUCACACUAUCAUUAACUGAAUCCAUAGGUUAAUGAGGCGAACCGGGGGAACUGAAACAUCUAAGUACCCCGAGGAAAAGAAAUCAACCGAGAUUCCCCCAGUAGCGGCGAGCGAACGGGGAGGAGCCCAGAGCCUGAAUCAGCAUGUGUGUUAGUGGAAGCGUCUGGAAAGGCGCGCGAUACAGGGUGACAGCCCCGUACACAAAAGCGCAUGUGCUGUGAGCUCGAUGAGUAGGGCGGGACACGUGGUAUCCUGUCUGAAUAUGGGGGGACCAUCCUCCAAGGCUAAAUACUCCUGACUGACCGAUAGUGAACCAGUACCGUGAGGGAAAGGCGAAAAGAACCCCGGCGAGGGGAGUGAAAAAGAACCUGAAACCGUGUACGUACAAGCAGUGGGAGCCUCUCUUUAUGGGGGGUGACUGCGUACCUUUUGUAUAAUGGGUCAGCGACUUAUAUUCUGUAGCAAGGUUAACCGUAUAGGGGAGCCGCAGGGAAACCGAGUCUUAAUUGGGCGUUAAGUUGCAGGGUAUAGACCCGAAACCCGGUGAUCUAGCCAUGGGCAGGUUGAAGGUUGGGUAACACUAACUGGAGGACCGAACCGACUAAUGUUGAAAAAUUAGCGGAUGACCUGUGGCUGGGGGUGAAAGGCCAAUCAAACCGGGAGAUAGCUGGUUCUCCCCGAAAGCUAUUUAGGUAGCGCCUCGUGAACUCAUCUCCGGGGGUAGAGCACUGUUUCGGCCAGGGGGCCAUCCCGGCUUACCAACCCGAUGCAAACUGCGAAUACCGGAGAAUGUUAUCACGGGAGACACACGGCGG
rnacentral:rRNA from 1 species